rnacentral:lncRNA from 1 species
GUGGGGGCCGUGAGGUGUGGGGGCCGUGAGGUGUGGGGGCGCUCACUGUCUCACUCUCACACAAUGUGUUGCCAUCCUCAUGGGGCGCCUGCCCCGGUUGGCACUGAGUGUCUAAGGACAGGGCCUGGCCAUCGCCUCAUCCCCUCCCCUGCCGCGUGGGGCCUCCGAGGAUGGCAUUUGAGAUGAUUCCUCCUCGGGCUGCCCUUCCCCAGCCGGCCCUGGCCACGGGCUGUGUCAGGCCAUGAUCGGUCCUUCCCCGCUCCCUGGCUGGGCUGUCC